rnacentral:rRNA from 1 species
ACUCCUACGGGAGGCAGCAGUGGGGAAUUUUGGACAAUGGGCGAAAGCCUGAUCCAGCAAUGCCGCGUGCAGGAUGAAGGCCUUCGGGUUGUAAACUGCUUUUGUACGGAACGAAAAGCCCUGGGUUAAUACCCUGGGGUCAUGACGGUACCGCAAGAAUAAGCACCGGCUAACUACGUGCCAGCAGCCGCGGUAAU